UACAGAGGUCUCAAGCGUUGUUCGGAUUCAUUGGGCGUAAAGGGUGUGUAGGUGGCGCCGUAAGUCGGGUGUGAAAUUUCGGAGCUUAACUCCGAAACUGCAUUCGAUACUGCGAUGCUUGAGGACUGGAAAGGAGACUGGAAUUCAUGGUGUAGCAGUGAAAUGCGUAGAGAUCAUGAGGAAGACCAGUGGCGAAGGCGGGUCUCUGGACAGUUCCUGACACUGAGGCACGAAGGCCAGGGGAGCAAACGGG
rnacentral:rRNA from 1 species